UACAGAGGGUGCAAGCGUUAAUCGGAAUUACUGGGCGUAAAGCGUGCGUAGACGGUUAUGUAAGUCGGGUGUGAAAGCCCCGGGCUCAACCUGGGAAUGCCAUUCGAGACUGCAUAGCUAGGGUGCGGAAGAGGGAAGCGGAAUUUCCGGUGUAGCGGUGAAAUGCGUAGAUAUCGGAAGGAACACCAGUGGCGAAAGCGGCUUCCUGGUCCAGAACCGACGUUCAGGCACGAAAGCGUGGGGAGCAAACAGG
rnacentral:rRNA from 1 species